rnacentral:rRNA from 1 species
UGGGGAAUUUUGGACAAUGGGCGCAAGCCUGAUCCAGCAAUGCCGCGUGAGUGAAGAAGGCCUUCGGGUUGUAAAGCUCUUUUGUCAGGGAAGAAACGGUUGUGGCUAAUAUCCUUGACUAAUGACGGUACCUGAAGAAUAAGCACCGGCUAACUACGUGCCAGCAGCCGCGGUAAUACGUAGGGUGCAAGCGUUAAUCGGAAUUACUGGGCGUAAAGCGUGCGCAGGCGGUUGUGCAAGACAGAUGUGAAAUCCCCGGGCUCAACCUGGGAAUUGCAUUUGUGACUGCACGGCUAGAGUGUGUCAGAGGGGGGUAGAAUUCCACGUGUAGCAGUGAAAUGCGUAGAUAUGUGGAGGAAUACCGAUGGCGAAGGCAGCCCCCUGGGAUAACACUGACGCUCAUGCACGAAAGCGUGGGGAGCAAACAGGAUUAGAUACCCCCGUAGUCC